UACGGAGGGUGCGAGCGUUGUCCGGAAUCAUUGGGCGUAAAGGGCGCGUAGGUGGCCCGGUCAGUUCGUGGUGAAAGCGCGGGGCUCAACCCUGCGUCGGCCAUGAAUACUGCCGCGGCUGGAGCACUGUAGAGGCAGGCGGAAUUCCGGGUGUAGCGGUGGAAUGCGUAGAGAUCCGGAAGAACACCGGUGGCGAAGGCGGCCUGCUGGGCCCGUUCC
rnacentral:rRNA from 1 species